rnacentral:rRNA from 1 species
CAGCCGCCACGGUAAUACGGAGGGGGCUAGCGUUGUUCGGAAUUACUGGGCGUAAAGCGCACGUAGGCGGCUUGGUAAGUUAGAGGUGAAAGCCUGGAGCUCAACUUCAGAAUUGCCUUUAAGACUGCCGAGCCGGCAGGUGAGAGAGGUAAGUGGAAUUCCGAGUGUAGAGGUGAAAUUCGUAGAUAUUCGGAAGAACACCAGUGGCGAAGGCGGCUUACUGGCUCAUACUGGACGCUGAGGUGCGAAAGCGUGGGGAGCAAACAGGAUUAGAUACCCCUGUAGUCCCUGUCUCUUAUAC